CUAUAAACCCACAACACAGUGCUGUGUCAUUACUAGACCAGGUGAUGGAAUAGAGAGAGAUGGAGGGGAGGUGGGGGUAAAAUGGGGUACUAUAAACCCACAACACAGUGCUGUGUCAUUACUAGACCAGGUGAUGGGAUAGAGAGAGAUGGAGGGGAGGUGGGGGUAAAAUGGGGUACUAUAAACCCACAACACAGUGCUGUGUCAUUAUUAGACCAGGUGAUGGAAUAGAGAGAGAUGGAGGGGAGGUGGGGGUAAAAUGGGGUACUAUAAACCCACAACACAGUGCUGUGUCAUUAUUAGACCAGGUGAUGGAAUAGAGAGAGAUGGAGGGGAGGUGGGGGUAAAAUGGGGUACUAUAAACCCACAACACAGUGCUGUGUCAUUACUAGACCAGGUGAUGGGAUAGAGAGAGAUGGAGGGGAGGUGGGGGUAAAAUGGGGUACUAUAAACCCACAACACAGUGCUGUGUCAUUACUAGACCAGGUGAUGGAAUAGAGAGAGAUGGAGGGGAGGUGGGGGUAAAAUGGGGUACUAUAAACCCACAACACAGUGCUGUGUCAUUACUAGACCAGGUGAUGGGAUAGAGAGAGAUGGAGGGGACGUGGGGGUAAAAUGGGGUACUAUAAACCCACAACACAGUGCUGUGUCAUUACUAGACCAGGUGAUGGAAUAGAGAGAGAUGGAGGGGAGGUGUGGGUAAAAUGGGGUACUAUAAACCCACAACACAGUGCUGUGUCAUUACUAGACCAGGUGAUGGAAUAGAGAGAGAUGGAGGGGAGGUGGGGGUAAAAUGGGGUACUAUAAACCCACAACACAGUGCUGUGUCAUUAUUAGACCAGGUGAUGGAAUAGAGAGAGAUGGAGGGUAGGUGGGGGUAAAAUGGGGUACUAUAAACCCACAACACAGUGCUGUGUCAUUACUAGACCAGGUGAUGAUAGAGAUGGAGGGGAGUAGUUGUGUGUGGAUGGUGUGUAGUCGACAGCGUGCUAAACAGCGAGGACGUUGAUGUGUGGAUUAGAUCAUGAUGGUUUGUGAUUGUCACCGUUUAUCACUCAAAGCCAAAGGUUCAGAUGCUCCCGGUGUUUCCAUCUGUCUGUGCAGUCAGAUUUUUACAGAGAAUAACUUAUUAUGGU